AUUGAACGCUGGCGGCAGGCCUAACACAUGCAAGUCGAACGGUAACAGGAAGCAGCUUGCUGCUUCGCUGACGAGUGGCGGACGGGUGAGUAAUGUCUGGGAAACUGCCUGAUGGAGGGGGAUAACUACUGGAAACGGUAGCUAAUACCGCAUAACGUCGCAAGACCAAAGAGGGGGACCUUAGGGCCUCUUGCCAUCGGAUGUGCCCAGAUGGGAUUAGCUAGUAGGUGGGGUAACGGCUCACCUAGGCGACGAUCCCUAGCUGGUCUGAGAGGAUGACCAGCCACACCGGAACUGAGACACGGUCCAGACUCCUACGGGAGGCAGCAGUGGGGAAUAUUGCACAAUGGGCGCAAGCCUGAUGCAGCCAUGCCGCGUGUAUGAAGAAGGCCUUCGGGUUGUAAAGUACUUUCAGCGGGGAGGAAGGGAGUAAAGUUAAUACCUUUGCUCAUUGACGUUACCCGCAGAAGAAGCACCGGCUAACUCCGUG
rnacentral:rRNA from 1 species